rnacentral:misc_RNA from 1 species
AAGUCGUAACAAGGUAUCCGUAGGUGAACCUGCGGAUGGAUCAUUGCCAAAAAAGGGAUUUCUAUUCCCAUCCACACCCUUGUGCACUGUUUGUAACGGGCUGUUGGGUGAAUCUUCCUUGCUUGUUGUCGUUUGCCUAUUGGGGAGGGGGUGUCCCCAAGGCGGAUAAUAAGCGACGCAAAUGAGGAACCUUUCGCGUGGGAGGUAUUAAAUGCCCUGCCCCCGGAAGUGUUCACCCAGUAGCCGAGAAAGCCCGGGGUGGCGCCCAUGGGCGCCGUCCCUUGCUUUUGCACCCCCAUAAACAAACCAACCCCAAAGAACUGAUUGCCUGAAACCUCGAAUAAUCUCGAGAAACGCAAAAAGCAAAAUAAAGCGAUAACUUCUAACAAUGGAUCUCUCGGCUCUC